rnacentral:snRNA from 1 species
GUGCUCACUUCGGCAGCACAUAUAUUAAAAAUUGGAAUGAUACAGAGAAGAUUAGCAUGGCCCCUGUGCAAAGAUGACACGCAAAUUCAUGAAGCAUUCCAUAUUUUU